GUGUCAAGCAGCUGAUAAUGAGUUUAGAAAUAAAGCUUGACUCACUUACUGCUUAGCACCAUAAAGAGAAAGAGAAAUAGAGACUAUGCCUUUAAAAUGUAGAAGAAACAUGGAGAAUCAGAUACAAGACAAUGAAGGUCGAAAAUGAUGCAGCUGCUGCAGAAGAUAUGCAAAAGAAUUUGCAAGAUCUUAAACAGAGAUGUAGAAUAUUGAAGACAUUGAUUGAAGAAGAACCAUAAAAAUAUCAUACUCACUUCAUCAAUAUAUCAAGAAAGGGAUAGAAGCUGACGGAAAUCACGGAAUUGAGGAACCUUACAAGAAGGUUCAUGCUGCUAUUCGUGCAGAAUGAAAAAGUCUGGGAAGCAGCCACAAAGGAACA